GCUGGCGGCAGGCCUAACACAUGCAAGUCGAGCGGUAACAUUUCUAGCUUGCUAGAAGAUGACGAGCGGCGACGGGUGAGUAACGCGUAGAAAUCUACCUAGUAGUGGGGGAUAGCCCAGAGAAAUUUGGAUUAAUACCGCAUACGCCCUACGGGGGAAAGCGGGGGAUCUUCGGACCUCGUGCUAUUAGAUGAGUCUGCGUCGGAUUAGCUUGUUGGUGAGGUAAUGGCUCACCAAGGCGACGAUCCGUAGCUGGUCUGAGAGGAUGACCAGCCACACUGGAACUGAGACACGGUCCAGACUCCUACGGGAGGCAGCAGUGGGGAAUAUUGCACAAUGGGCGCAAGCCUGAUGCAGCCAUGCCGCGUGUGUGAAGAAGGCCUUAGGGUUGUAAAGCACUUUCAGCAGUGAGGAAAGGGGUGUCGUUAAUAGCGCCAUCCUGUGACGUUAACUGCAGAAGAAGGACCGGCUAACUCCGUG
rnacentral:rRNA from 1 species